GAUGGUUUGGCCGACUGGUCUAAGGCGCUAGAUUUAGGCUUUGGUUCGAAAGGGCGUGGGUUCAAAUCCCACAGCCGUCA
rnacentral:tRNA from 1 species